CGCACGGGUGAGUAACGCAUAGGUCAUGUGCCUCUUAGUUUGGGAUAGCCAUUGGAAACGAUGAUUAAUACCAGAUACUCCUACGGGGAAAAGAUUUAUCGCUAAGAGAUCAGCCUAUGUCCUAUCAGCUUGUUGGUAAGGUAAUGGCUUACCAAGGCUGUGACGGGCAUCCGGCGUGAGAGGGUGAACGGACACACUGGAACUGAGACACGGUCCAGACUGGUACGGGAGGCAGCAGUAGGGAAUAUUGCUCAUGGGGGAAACCCUGAAGCAGCACGCCGCGUGGAGGAUGAAGGUUUUAGGAUUGUUAACAAAAAUUUGUUAGAGAAGAUCAUGACGGUAUCUACGAACGAAUAAGCACCGGCUAACUCCGUGCCAGCAGCCGCGGUAAUACGGAGGGUGCAAGCGUUACUCGGAAUCACUGGGCGUAAUGAGCGCGUAGGCGGGAUAGUCAGUCAGGUGUGAAAUCCUAUGGCUUAACCAUAGAAGUUUGAAACUACUAUUCUAGAGUGUGGGAGAGGUAGGUUUGGUAACCCAUGGNAUUCUUGGUGUAGGGGCCAAAUCCGUAGAGAUCGGCAGGAAUUCUCCUUGCGAAGGCGACCUGCUGAACAUUACCUGACGCUGAUUGCCAAAAGCGUGGGGAGCAAACAGGAUUAGAUACCCUUGUAGUCCACGCCCUAAACGAUGGAUCCUUGUUGUUGGAGGGCUUAGUCUCUCCAGUAAUGCACGUAACGCAUUAAGCAUUUUCCCGGGAAAACCCGCCUGGGGAGUACGGUCGCAAGAUGCCCUAAACGAUGGAUGCUAGUUGUUGGAGGGCUUAGUCUCUCCAGUAAUGCAGCUAACGCAUUAAGCAUCCCGCCUGGGGAGUACGGUCGCAAGAUUAAAACUCAAAGGAAUAGACGGGGACCCGCACAAGCGGUGGAGUUUCUUAGUUGCUAACAGGUCAACUCUAAGGAUACUAGCCUCCUAAGGAGGAGGAAGGUAGGGACGACGUCAAGUCUUCUGGCCCUUACCCUAGGGCUACCCGUGCUACNAUGGGGUGCACAAAGAGAAGCGGUACUGGGAAGUGGAGCCAAUCUUCAAAACACCUCUCAGUUCGGAUUGUAGGCU
rnacentral:rRNA from 1 species